GGUUAAACAGUACGUGAAAUUGUUGAAAGGGAAGCGCUUGUGACCAGACUUGGGCGCGGCGAAUCAUCCGGGGUUCUCUCCGGUGCACUUCGCCGUGUUCAGGCCAGCAUCAGUUCGGCGCGGGGGAAAAAGGCUUCGGGAACGUGGCUGCUCCGGCAGUGUUAUAGCCCGUUGCAUAAUACCCUGCGCUGGACUGAGGACCGCGCAUCUGCAAGGAUGCUGGCGUAAUGGUCACCAGCGAC
rnacentral:rRNA from 1 species